GAAUAAGCAUUGCCAUGCUCUUUGCGAAGACUACUUUGAAAACUGAAAACAAUAUUUUUAUAUAACAUGUUCAACAGGAUAUAGCAUAAUGUGAAUGUGCUGUAGGCCAUGGGGAGACCACAAGCUGAGAGCUUUUUCAUCGCUCAGAUGCUGCAUCUGUGAUUUCUAUCAUGGUCCCAGGAGGAGGCCGGCUACAGUACUUAAGAAAGUCCCUCAGGUGGCAACGGAGUGAUACAGCAGACUGACAAACAGGGUGGGUCAAGGGUGGUAAUUGCUGAAGAGUUUGCCCCAUCGCUCUGAAGGCCGUUGAGAUCGUGGAGAUGUGCAUUCGGAGGAGAAAGUAUUGCUGUGUGCAUCAGUC